GAUGAACGCUGGCGGCGUGCCUAAUACAUGCAAGUCGAACGGACAGACGAUGAGCUCGCGCCACUGACGUUGGCGACGGGCGGGUGAGUAACACGUGGAUAACCUUCCUCUUAGACUUGGGUAACUUCGAGAAGCCCUAGCUCAUAACAGAUAAUAUCUUGAACGGCAUGGUUCAAUAGUUAAAUACGUUUUGGCUGACACUUAGAGCUGGAUCCGCGCCGCAUUAGCUAGUUGGUAAGGUAACGGCUUACCGAGGCAACGAUGCGUAGCCGACCUGAGAGGGUGAUCCGCCACACUGGAACUGAGACACGGUCCAGACUCCUACGGGAGGCAGCAGUAGGGAAUGUUGCACAAUGGGCGAAAGCCUGACGGAGCCAUGCCGCGUGAGUGAUGAAGGUCUUCGGGUUGUAAAACUCUGUUAUUAGGGAAGAACAACUGUGUAAGUAACCAGCCAUGUUUUGACGGUACCUAAACAAAAAGCACCGGCUAACUACGUG
rnacentral:rRNA from 1 species